UGGGGAAUUUUGGACAAUGGGCGCAAGCCUGAUCCAGCCAUGCCGCGUGCGGGAAGAAGGCCUUCGGGUUGUAAACCGCUUUCGUCAGGGAAGAAAUCUUCUGAGUUAAUACCUCGGGAGGAUGACGGUACCUGAAGAAUAAGCACCGGCUAACUACGUGCCAGCAGCCGCGGUAAUACGUAGGGUGCAAGCGUUAAUCGGAAUUACUGGGCGUAAAGCGUGCGCAGGCGGUUUUGUAAGACAGAGGUGAAAUCCCCGGGCUCAACCUGGGAACUGCCUUUGUGACUGCAAGGCUUGAGUGCGGCAGAGGGGGAUGGAAUUCCGCGUGUAGCAGUGAAAUGCGUAGGUAUGCGGAGGAACACCGAUGGCGAAGGCAAUCCCCUGGGCCUGCACUGACGCUCAUGCACGAAAGCGUGGGGAGCAAACAGGAUUAGAUACCCUGGUAGUCCACGCCCUAAACGAUGUCAACUGGUUGUUGGGAAGGUUCCUUCUCAGUAACGUAGCUAACGCGUGAAGUUGACCGCCUGGGGAGUACGGCCGCAAGGUUGAAAACUC
rnacentral:rRNA from 1 species